rnacentral:rRNA from 1 species
AACGUAGGAGACAAACGUUAUCCGGAGUUACUGGGCGUAAAGGGCGUGUAGGCGGUCUGUUAAGUCUGGCGUGAAAGCUCUCGGCUAAACCGGGAGAGGUCGUUGGAUACUGGCAAGACUAGAGGAUGGUAGAGGCGUGCGGAACUUCCGGUGGAGCGGUGAAAUGCGUAGAUAUCGGAAGGAACACCGGUGGCGAAAGCGGCGCGCUGGACCCCUUCUGACGCUGAGGCGCGAAAGCCAGGGGAGCAAACGGG